CUUGAACUGGAGGAGCACCCCAACCUCUGCCGCCCAGCCCUGCAUAUCAGGGUCAGUCCUGUCCCAUCCCUUGCCAGGGGAGACCUGGGGGGCAGGGUGGAGGUGAGCGGCUUUUGGAGGACAUGGGGAGGCUGCUGGCUGAUUACAGGGUGUUCAUCCUGCACCCACCAUCCUCCAGCCUGGCAGGACCACUCAAGAAGAGGUGGGCAUCCAGGACCUGGGAUGAUGAGCCAUCCUUGCUCCCUGCCCUCCCGUAUGUACCCACCAGCCAAACUGGAGCAUCUCUGGUCGGAAACCUGGGGUUGAAGCAACACAGUGUCAAUCACCUGCAGUGUGGGGCCACUGAGGCAUCUCCAGAGGUGUGAGGACUUCUACUCCCGAGCUCACCAGACCCUCUCUAGAAAAGACCCUGAGUAAGAUGAAACUGGAGCAGGGGGGAAGCUGGAGCCCCCAAGAGAGCUUCAGCUCCAUGUAUCUCAGCCACCGCUCCCUGUUCUCAUUGUGCUGACGCAGCCGUCACUGAGGCCAGGCUGUGAACAGGCUUGGGGUUAAAAAUAGUGUCAUGCAAGGGAGAAGGGGAUUAUGUUGAAUUUAGAGCAGUUCAUCGGGCAGGCUUGCGGCAUGGAGGCUGGAGGACAUGCUGGUAUGUCAGGUGAGCCAGGAAUUUUUUCCAUAGGGGUCAGGGACCUGCUUUGCAAGGCUUUUGGGGGGCCGACAAUACUCCUCUUGGGUGUGAUACUCUUGGUGGCAGGGCCAGCAUGGGGGUUGCUUCCUGACCCCUCCUGUGGGUUGGUAUUGCUGGUGCCCAUCACUUCAGAACAGGACAGGCUGAUGUCUGGCUAGAGUUGGAUUGCCCAUCACCCCCCCAUGCUGUGAAGCUCAUCUUGAACAGUGUCAAAUCUUGUCUGGGAGGGUUCAGGGGUUCAGAACCAGUGGAGGAUGCAGAGCAUAACACACAAUUUGGAGAUGGAGAGGGAUGAAAGCUUCUUUAUUCUGGGGCUGUCCUGGGCAGAGGGUGUCAGACACCUUCCCACAGUUUAGGUGACACCAUAAGUGUGUGACAGCCUGGGCUGCGUGGGCGCAAGGGUGUCACUGUCACACAUGGACACAUCCCGCUCAGCCCCCCUGGCUGGUGACAAGCUCUGCAGAAGGGUUAAUGCCUGAGGAGGGACCGAGCCACCCUGCUGGGAUAGUUUAACCCUUUCCAGCAGAAACCUUUUCCAGCCCCCCUGGAUGUGGAGGGGGUGGGAGGAUACAGAACUCCAUCCCUGUGAGCCCUUCUUGUGCCUUUGGGUACCUGGUGCUAAUUAAUGCCCUCCUGAAAAGGAGCAAAUCUCGGAGUAAUCCAGCAUCAUCACGGCGAGAUUCCCUGUAGAUACGUUAGGCGGGGAAAUCUAUUACUCCCUAAUUAAAUGGAGGCAGAAAUGAUUGUUCUUUUUCUAUUCCUUAUAUGUUUCUAAGCGUGAAACUCAAUUAUAAAUGUAUCCGCAGAAGGGGAUUUGUAUACAACGGGGAGUCUCUUCUUGGCACGGGGUUUUAAAAGCUGGAGCAAACACCUGAGCUGUUGUGGAGCAGCCUCAAAUUCUCAGUGUUUGGGGGAUUUGGGUGGGUACCCCCCUACCCACCGCCUCUUUUUCUUGCCGACCUGCUUUGUCUGUCUCCCCCGCGCUCCCUGCGCAGGAGAAAGAUGCAGAGGCUGGACUUAAAAUAGAAAACUGUUCCCCGGAGUGUGGAGAAAUGAGUGUUUGCUUAGGGAGGGCUCUGUCGGGAUGUGGAGGCUGCAUUUGGGGGGGUGAGGGGCGUCAGUGGGGCCACCCGUGGGUGCUGACGAGUGGGUGACUGUCCCCAUGCAGUGACUGGACGCUGCCUCUUGAGCAGGGACACUAGGAAGGCAUGUGGCUUGGUAGCUCCAGAUAAGAAAAGCAAUCAAAGGCAGCCUUAAAUCUUCAUCGUGUAAUUGUGGGUUUAAAUCAUCAGUGGGAUGGGAGAGGAUGUAAAUCCUCUGGGCACCUACUUAGCACCCACGGGCUUGGGACUGGAAGCACAUGGGGACCAGGGUGACACUAACCAGACAGCCCCAUCCUGCCCCCAGCAUCCCCGGCACGGCUCUGCAGGGCAGCAUGGUGCUGGGAAUAUAGUCAUGUAUGUACAUAUAUACAGGGUGUGAACAGGAGCCAAGUGUGGGGUGUAUGUGUGUGCAGAGAAUGAACAUGCGUAUACAUGGGUAGUGUGAGGAUUUAGUGUGGGUUUGUACAUAUAUUGAUCGUACGUAUCGUGGGUGCCUAGAUUUAUAGAGCUUAUACAAAUUAUAUGUAUAUAUUGUAUGCGUUCUUGCUGCAUAUGCGUGUUUAUAGGGUGUGAGUAUUGGUACAUGUGUAUUGCUGGGGGAAAAUAUUCUUUGUAUUUUACUAUAUAGUGGAUUUAUAGAGAGUGUGUCUACAGAGUAUAUAAUAUAUUUGGUUUAUUAUAUUUUUACAUAUAUGCUGUGUUCACCUAUACUGAUAUUGUGUGUAUAGGCUGAGUGCACACAAAAUAUGCGUGCAUAGUGUGUUCACAUAACGAUUAUUUGUGCAUAUACAUGGUGUGUAUGUGUAUAUAUAAAAUGAGUGUAUACAGCAUAGAUGUGUGUAUAUAGUGUGUCUGUAUGUAUACACACAGUACAUGUGUAAAUUACAUAUAAUAUGCAUAUACAUUAACACAGAAAUAUAACAUAUAUACUGGCUAUGUGCACAGUGCAUGAGUAGAACUAUAUAUAUAUAUAUAUUUAUA